CGGGUGCGGAACACGUACGCAACACCCCUAACUAAAGGAUAGCCCAUAGAAAUGUGGAUUAACCCUUUAUAGUACGACUGGGGCAUCAACUGGUUGUUAAAACUCCGGUGGUUAGGGAUGGGCGUGCGUCUGAUUAGGUUUGGUAGGGUAACGGCCUACCAAGCCAACGAUCAGUAGCUGAUGUGAGAGCAUGAUCACACACGGGCACUGAGACACGGGCCCGACUCCUACGGGAGGCAGCAGUAAGGAAUAUUGCAAUGGACGCAAGUCUGAACCAGCCAUGCCGCGUGAAGGAUGAAGGUCCUCUGGAUUGAACUUCUUUUAUCUGGGACGAAACACUGGUUUUCUAACCAGCUUGACGGUACCAGAGGUAAGCACCGGCUAACUCCGUGCCAGCAGCCGCGGUAAUACGGAGGGUGCAAGCGUUAUGGAUUCACUGGGUUUAAAGGGUGCGUAGGUGGGUAUGUAAGUCCGUGGUGAAAUCCUGGCUUAACUGCAGAACUGCCGUGGAUACUAUAUAUCUUGAAUAUCGUGGAGGUUAGUGGUAGGUCAUGUAGCGGUGAAAUGCUUAGAGAUGACAUGGAACACCGAUUGCGAAGGCAGGGCUACACGAUAAUUGACACUGAGGCACGAAAGCGUGGGUAGCAAACAGGAUUAGAUACUGGUAGUCCACGCCCUAAACGAUGGAUACUCGACAUCAGCGAUAUUACUGUUGGUGU
rnacentral:rRNA from 1 species